rnacentral:rRNA from 1 species
AUGGAGGUGGCGGUGGUGGCGAGCGCGGUGACCGGAGCAAUAAGGACGCUCUUGCCCAAGCUCACUGCCUUGCUACACAAGAAGUACAAACUGUCUGGUGGAGUGAGGAAGAAGAUCACUUCCUUGAGGCAUGAGAUGAGCAGCAUGAGUGCUUUGCUCGUGACGCUAGCUGGGCUGGAGGAGCUAACUCCCCGAGACAAGGACUGGCGUGACAAGGUGCGCGAGCUGUCCUAUGAUAUAGAAGACUGCAUCGACAUCUUCACGCAUGAGCUUGAUAGGCAUGAAGCCAAGGGUGGACUGAGGCGCAGGCUUAAGAAGAUCAAGGCGCGGUACAAGAUUGGCCACCGUAUUGAAGAGUUGAGGGCUCAGGUUGUCGAAUUAAGCAAUCGUCACAACAGAUACAAGCCCGAUGAGUGCAUUGGUUCUCCUAGCUCUAGGGCCCUUGUGGAGGUUGACCCUCGUCUACAGGCACUCUAUGUAGAUCCUGAUAGCCUUGUUGGCAUUGAUGCCCAAAAGGCGAAGCUCAUCGAGUUGCUGAGGAUGGAUGUUGGUGAUACACAACGACUUAAACUAGUAGCCAUUGCUGGAUUUGGAGGUAUGGGCAAGACAACUCUUGCGAACCAAGUUUAUACCAAGAUGAAAGGCCAGUUUGAUUGCACGGCCUUUGUAUCGGUGUCUCGGAUUCCAAAUAUAGCCAAGAUUUUGUCAGAUAUAUAUUCGGCAACGACGGACCCAAACACCAAUUGUAAUGAUGAGCGGCUAAUCAUUGACCGGCUCAGGAAUAGUCUAGAAGACAAAAGAUACCUUAUUGUGAUUGAUGAUAUAUGGACAAUGGAAGCAUGGAAUGCUAUUAAAGGUUGCUUCUUGGAGAACAGUCUUGGCAGUAGAGUUAUAACAACUACACGAUUUGAAGAUAUAGCUCAAGCAUGUUGUUCUUCUCUCCAUGGCCUUGUCUACAGAAUCAAACCUCUUAACUGUAUUGACUCCAGAAGAUUAUUUGACAGAAGGAUUUUUCCUCUUAAUUGUCCUGAGCAACUGAAGACUGUACGUGGUGGAAUUUUGAAGAAAUGUGAAGGAGUGCCAUUAGUCAUAAUUAGCGUAGCCAGCAUACUGGCUUGUCAUGAAGAGGUAAAUUCAAUAGAAAUCUGGGAGAAGAUACAUAAUCAUUUUGUUAUCUAUUUGGAAGGACAUCGUGCGUUAGGGUGGAUAAGGCAUGUGCUUAAUCUUGGCUAUAAUGAUUUAUGCCUGGACCUUAAGACAUGUAUGCUAUAUUUUAGUAUAUUUGCAGAAGACUCUGAAAUAAUGAAGGAUGAUUUGGUGAAAAGAUGGAUUGCCGAGGGUUUUGUUACUGAAAAGCAUGGUCGUAGCCCACAUGAUAUUGCAGAAAGUUACUUCAGUGAGCUGAUUAAUAGAAACAUGAUCCAAAUAGCUAAUAUUGAUGACUGCGGGCAUGUGUUGUCUUGUCGAGUCCAUGAUAUCAUGCUUGAUUUUAUCAUACUGAAGUCCACAGAAGAAAACUUUGUCACUAUAAUGAAUGAUCUGCAUUGCACGAAAGGCUGUCUGGAUGUUCGCCGGUUAUCCCUCCAAAAAAUAAAAAAUUCUCGAUGCAAUGACCUGGUGGAAAACAUAGCUCUCACCCAAGCUAGGUCAUUUAACUUCUGGGGUCCUGCUCAAAGCAUUCCUUCUGUUUCAAAGUUCCAACUUCUCCGAGUUCUACAUAUUGUUGUUUCUGGUGACAGGGAUGAGAACUAUGAUCUGUCUUGCAUUUGUAACCUGUUCCAACUGAAAUAUCUGAGGAUUGUAGGCAUUUGGUGCACGGGAUUUCUCAAACAAUUGCGUAAAUUGCAACAUCUGCAGACACUGGAGAUCGCACACAGAAGAAGUGAAGAUGUUUACCUAGACAUUGGUGAGUUACCCUUGACGCUGUUGCAUCUGAUUGUCUUUGCAAAGCUACUUGGUGACAUAGGAAGGAUGAGAUCCCUCAUUUGUUUAGCUACCUUAGCAAUAGGUGAUAUCAAACAUAUGGAGGGAAUGAAGGGGCUCGGUAAUCUGGCCGACCUAAGGGAGCUAAGGCUAUAUGUGAGCGCAUCUGUUUGGAACACAGGUGGACGUCAACUGUCCUUUAGGGAAUCCCUAGCCAAACCCCAACACCACUAUGUUCCUCAUCUACGUGGAGUUGCCAUUUGUGAUUCUCUACUAUCCUCCUUCAGCAGACUCGGCAGCCUUGAAUCCCUAAUCAUCAAUGGAGGGCUCCCUGUUGAUGUGUUGAUUUGCUGGUCUCCACCUCCACGCCGACUCCGUAGAUUACAUGUGCAGGACUGCCCCUUUUCAGUGGUCCCAUAUUGGAUCACCCAAUUCGCCAUCCUCAGAAGUCUGGAAAUUGAAAUUCUUUCCAUGACAAGGGAGGGUAUCCAUAUUCUUUCCCAGCUGGUCUCGCUGGUGAACCUCCGACUAUUUGUUAGGAAGUCUCUUCCCGCAGAGGGCGUUGUCAUCCCUGGUGCAGCAUUUCCGAAUCUUAAGGGCUUCUUCUUCAGAUGUAAAGUGCCCUGUCUCAAGUUCAGGGCAGGGGCCACACCCAGGCUUCAAAAUCUCACUGUGGAGUGUCACACAAGAGCAGUGCAGCGGGCUGAUACUGUACUUGAAGGCAUCGAGCAUCUAGGGAGCCUCAUGACAUGCAAGGUGAACAUCUACCACCAUGACUUCUUCAUGGCCACGCAGACUGGCGGCGGUGAUGGACCAAGGCCACCUAGCAUUUGGCAAGCUCUUGAGGAUGAGGUCUUGAAGGCGAUAAACAAGAAUUUGGGGUAUCCUGAACCUUAA